AGGGAAGGGUCAGGCUCUCCACCAAGGAGAGCUGCUUGUGGUGGCCAGGCAUUCAUAGCUACAUCACUUUUUGAUCCUUUGAUGUCUGCACUUCCUAUCAUUGUGAAGCAGAAUUCACCAAGUGUUGGAUUGUUCACCCACUAAUAGGGAGCAUGAGCCUUAGACUGUAGUGAGACAAAUUAGUUUCACCUUUCU
rnacentral:ncRNA from 1 species